UCAACUAGGUGGUUAAGAGGGAAGCGAAAGCUCUCCCUAGUACGGCGAGAACCGUGCGACAUCGUCAAAUUGCGGGGAAUUCCUAAAGCUUUGAGUACCGCGGCUCUCCGUAAGGGGCAGUGCAGCAACAGGGUAACGACCUCGUGGAUGGUAAUAACCUCAAAGAUGGAACAAUGGAUUAUCCGCAGCCAAGUUCCUAAGCGGAGGUUUGGAUCCGAGUGAAUCCAGACACCGACGGAAUGCAGUUCAACGACCAAACGGCGAUGGGUUACAAGUGGUGGUCAUCCUACACUUGUGGCUUAAGAUAUGGUCUAAGCCUAGCUCGAAAGGGUUGG
rnacentral:ncRNA from 1 species